UUUGCAGAGAGUGUUGUCUUUUAGGUCUUAUUGUUAGAGAAGACUAAAAAUAAGUAUGGAACCUUUUACCUGUAGCGCUACCCAAAGGACAAAUGAGUCUUGUAUUUUGGGUGACGAUUGUUGGAGAUAGUCUCAAAGCGAUCAAUUGGGUACUAUACGUAGGGGAUGGGACGUACGUGCGGAUGAAAAUGGCAGUGUUGCUUUGGUGGCCGUCACUUGAGAGGCAGUUUAUUACAUUGAGCCCAGUUAAAUGCUGUGACUGUCUCGGGUGGAGAGCGAGGCAUGCACGGCCUGCACGCCAAUCGAUCAGCUCGGAGAUGAACCGGCCAGCGUGCUCGGCAAAAGCACCAGAAUACCAUCGGUCACCGCUCAAACGUCCACGGAGGCGCGCUUUAUCAAAAUAUCUAUAAUAAUGCCGGCCACUAUGAUUUUUUGAUAUUAUUUUCUAUUUUGCUUUAUCAAAAAAUAUAUAAUAAUUCCGGUGGAUAAAAAAUAUUAUUUUCUAUUUUUAAAAAAUUAUUUUAGUUAGUUUCCUUGCGUUCAGGCAGGUUGCUAAUUUAAAUUAAGUGAAAAAUGAAUUUAUAAAAUUUGUUUAUGCCACGAAUAAGUUUCUCUAUUUUCAAAAUUAAAUUUUAAAAUUAUGGUUUUAAAAAAAUAAUAUAUAGUUAUAGGUUCAAAAUUGUUUUGAAAUAGUUUCCUCAAAAAAAAAAUUAAAUCUUCCGAAAUAGAGUUUAAAAAUCUUUCAAAUUUGUAGAGAAGUUUCAAAUAAUUUGGUUUUAACCCAGCUUUAAAAUAAGUUUAAAAAUUUGAUUUGUUUUCAGUAUUUAUUAGAAAAUAAAAGGUUUAAAUAAAUAUGUUCGCAAACUAUUUUGCAAAAAAUUUACAUAGAGUAAAAACUUAUUAGGGACCAAAAUUCUCUAAAAAUCCUAAGCCAAAACCUUUUGUCCUUUUUCAUCUAGGUCUGCUUCCUUUUUUUUGCUUUAUCACUCUGCCUGCUUUGCUUCAGGCUUAGUCUUCUUGCAUGCUCUCCUCGACCCGUAGCUAUAGUUAACUGCCAUGUUAGCCACCAGCAACAACUCAUCAAUACUCCCUCUUCAUUAGUGACUAACAUGUGGGUCCACUUUGUCAUCUUCUUCCUUUUUGUUCCCUGUUUAUCUCAACUAGUCUGGACUCAAAGCUUGAGUAUUUUUAAGAUAGUUCUUGAAGACAGUGUUGUGACUACGCUACUAUAUCUCGGUUCACCUAUGGAGAUGGUGUAUCACUAUACUAUUGUCGCAUGUAUAAAUAAAGUGAUCCUUCCAUACAUGUGACGUGCAUUCGGUUUUAUGCUUAAAACUAGACUAGGUUAAUGCCCGUACGUUGUUACGGGUUUUAAAAUCUGCAUACUCUAUGUUUCUUCAUUGUUAUUUUAUUUUUUCGUCUAUAUUCUUCCUUUUUCAUUUCUUUUUAGUUUUUGUUUUUCGAUUUUAUUUUAUUUUCUAUCCUUUCCUUAUUCUUUUCUUGUUUUAAUUUUACGUUUUAUUUUAUUUUUCUUUUGGUUUUAUUUUUAUUGUUCUUCCUUGCUUCUAUUUGUUUUUCUUUUUUCUUUUCAGAUUUUCUAUGUUUCUUCAUUUUUAUUUUAUAUUUUAUUUCCUUUUAAUCUUAUUUUUAUCCUUAUUUAAAUUAUUCAUUAAUUUUAUUUGCUCUAUGCACUUUUUACCAUUUGUUAAUUAUGUUUGUUUUAUAAUUUUAUUUUAGUAAUUUUAUUUUUUAUUUUUAUUUUCUAUAUAUAUGUGAUAUUUAUGUAGUAUAUAUUUAGUGUUCUAUAUUGUGUUAUGUCAUGUUUACGUAAUAUAUAUGUGAUGUUCUAUGAUGUUUCUUACGGUGUUCACUUAGUAUACAUGUAAUCUAUAAUAGAUGUGAUGUUCUAUAAUAUAUUUAAUGAUGUUCUAUGAUGUAUUUAGUGAUGUUAAUGUUUUAUAAAUAUAUUUACGAUAUUUAAAAAGUAACCCUUUGACAUUAUUUGAAAUUUUUCUCCAUUUUGUGUUUUUAUUUUUUUUCUUAUGCUUUUUACUCUAUAUUUUUUUAUUAUUUUUAUAUAUGUCAUGUAUUUAUGUAUUUUUAUGUAUAUUGUAAUAUCAGUUUCAUAAACCUAAAACCAAAAUACUAUUCUUCUAAAUCGAUAACAUUUUUUUACAAAGACUGAACAUUGUCUGUUGAACCUAGAAUAUUAUUUCUACUUAAUAAAAUAAAAUAUUUUAUCUUUAUAAGAUAAAUAUUCAUUAAUAAAAUUUUAUCUAAAUAUAUCCAUGUGUGAUCUUGUUUUGAAGAAUUUGUUAUAAGAAAUUUAAUGGUGCAAUCAGAAUUUAAUUUAUAUCUCUAGUUUAGGAGUUAUGACUUUUUUUAAUUCGCUAAAACAAUUUUGCAUGCAUAAGUGAGUGGGGCCUAGGUUGAUGGGAUAGCGUGUCAUUACGCAGUAAAAAAGACCACCAAAGAGAUGAAAGUUAUGGAUGGGUUCUCUCUAUAAUUUUUAGUUGUAGAGAUAAAUAUUAAUUAAUAAAAUUUUAUCUAAAUAUAUCUACGUGUGAUCUUGUUUUGAAGGAUUUGUUAUGAGAAAUUUAUUGGUGCAAUCGGAAUUUAAUAUAUAUAUCUUCGGUUUAAAAGUUAUAAUUUUUUUAAAUUUGCUAAAACAAUUUUGCAUGCAUGGGUGAGUGGGGCCUAGGUUGAUGGGAUAGCCUAUCAUGGAUAAAAGGGAUGGGAGUUGUGGCUUCACUAUGGGUGUGGUAGAUGGGUCCUUUUCAUAAUUUUUAGUUGUAGAGAUGUAACAAUUUGUGUCUACAGGGAGUAAGUCAACCUCCCAAAUUUGUCAAAAUUAAGUGAUUACCUUUUUUUACCUUUGAUUGUCAACUAUAAGACCCAUUUGACACUACUUCUCCAACAACUUCAUAAGUUGUUUGAAGCUUUUUUUUUUGUAUCAAACUAGCAUUCUUCAAAUAGCUUUGCAUGCAAAGCUCCUUAAAUAUGCUCUCAUAAGAGAUUGUUGUGAGUGAAAGGGACUCUAGCCUAAUGGUUAAAGCACCUGAGUAGCAUCCAGUAGUCUGAGUUCAAUUCCAUGUGGGAGCGAAUUAAAACAUAUAUGAAAAAAGUUAUAAAAAUUUGGUUGGGGGUUUUUCCUACCAAUUUCGGUAAAAAAUAUUGUUGUGAGAUGAAGCUAAAUAGCUAUUUCUUCCAACUACAACUCGCUCUGGUGGCCCUGUGUGGGCAGAGGUUCAUUUGUGAGAGCAUACUUUGUGGAGCUUCACAUGCAUAGUUGUUUUUGCCAAACAAUUCGCUAAAAUAGCUUAUGUCCAUCAAUAUAAUUGCUCGUGAAGUUGAAGCCAAAAAAAGCUACUUCACUAAUAAAGUGGAGCAGUGAUAAUAGUGUGUAAGAUUGACAGUAUAAUACUGCCAUAAUUGAUCAAUAUACAAAAUAACUAAACAAUAGAAAUGUCUCUUUUCAUUUACGAUACCUAAGGCACCAUUAUAAAUGGUCCUUGAGACCCUUUUUACAUGGCGAAAUAUGUAGUGGAAACUAUAUUCUAAAAAUAUGUAGUGGAAACUAUAUGUUAGGUAAAAACAUAGAAUCCAAUUCAAAAGAUGUAUUUUGGUUGCUCAAUUUCUUUUUAAACUUGGCGCAUGUUGGGGAAAAGAUAACUUUGACUCCGAACAACAAGUGAAGGACAAAGGAGUGAUCAUAUUUCUAUACAAAAUAACUAAAAUACCCCCCCCCCCAAGAACUUUGUAUACAACUCAUCCAAUCUAAGAGGAUAAGAUGGUCUUUUCUCUAUCAGAUCAUUAACAAUGAAGAAUCUAAUAAUACUUAUUUGGUAUCAUAAAUAUUAUUAUUUUAUUAUAUAAAUCUAGUCAAAUUUGAGAUACUUCGACUUUUAAAGAAAGUUAGAAUGAUUUAUAGUUUAGGAUGGGGGAGUACAUAGCAAACACAAUUAGAGGGACCAAAUAUUAUUUGGAAUUUAAAAAAAAAGGAAAGGCCGUUUAGGACCUCUUGGCCUGUUGCAAUUUUAAAAAACAACGGCCUUAUUUUACCCCUACUGACUACCGAGGGAUUACGAGCAGCAGGCCCAUGCUAAUCAUGGGAGCAAACUAACGAGCAAUACAAGUCAACAGGCUCGCCCGUUUGAGCAAUGGGCCGGAUGCGUCGGGAAGCCCAACAGUGGCCUGGUUUUACUUUCCUUGCUCAGGUGGCCUCAAUUAGUUAAUCAUGCCUCGGGAUGAUCUACUGGAGCACUUCUCAGUUCUCACCCACAAGGAUAAAUGGAUAAUAGAUUGGGUCUUUCAAUUAUAAUUCUUCUAGCCACUUGCACGAUGCACGAGAGAGAAAUUUUAAAUUAUUUUCAUCAUUCGUAUCACCUAUAUAUAUUAGGGACGGUCCAAUAGAGAUUUCGUUCCUGCUAGUUCUUUUCAUGCAUUAGUACCUAGUACUAUUAGUGAUUGGUUAAUGUAGCUUAACACAUGUUAGUUGUAAUGUUUGUGGUGUCAUCCAAAUCCCUAAAACUACGUAUAAUACUCAUGCGAACAUAUAAUAAAAGUUAUCCUUAGAACAUGAAACGAUAAAAAAAAUUGAUAAUAUAUAUAGAUUUUAUCAAGCUUUCAUCCCCUUUUCUUGCAUUGGUAUACUCCAUCUGUCCUGCAAUAUAGUAUAUUCUAAAAAUUCUAAUAUAACUUAAGGGAACAAUUAAAUGAUGUAUAUAUCUGUAGAUUAUUUUAAUUUUAGAGUUUCUUUUUAAAUCAUGGUUCCUUUUAUAACA
rnacentral:lncRNA from 1 species